UGGUCUGAUUCAGUUGGUUAGAACAUGGUGCUGAUAACACCAAGCUUGCAGGUUUGAUCCCCAACGGAACAA